UCGGGAAUUUUGGGCAAUGGGCGAAAGCCUGAUCCAGCCAUGCCGCGUGAGUGACGAAGGCCUUAGGGUUGUAAAACUCUUUCGUCGGGGACGAUAAUGACGGUACCCGAAGAAGAAGCUCCGGCUAACUUCGUGCCAGCAGCCGCGGUAAUACGAAGGGAGCUAGCGUUGUUCGGAAUCACUGGGCGUAAAGCGCACGUAGGCGGAUAGUUAAGUCAGGGGUGAAAUCCUGGGGCUCAACCCCAGAACUGCCUUUGAUACUGGCUGUCUCGAGGUCGAGAGAGGUUGGUGGAAUUCCUAGUGUAGAGGUGAAAUUCGUAGAUAUUAGGAAGAACACCAGUGGCGAAGGCGGCCAACUGGCUCGAUACUGACGCUGAGGUGCGAAAGCGUGGGGAGCAAACAGGAUUAGAUACCCCCGUAGUCCCUGAG
rnacentral:rRNA from 1 species